rnacentral:rRNA from 1 species
UGGGGAAUAUUGCGCAAUGGGCGAAAGCCUGACGCAGCAACGCCGUGUGAGUGAGGAAGGCCUUCGGGUUGUAAAGCUCUGUCAAGGUGGAAAAAUGGCCAAGGUCCAAUAGGCCUUUGGUUUGAUGGUACACCUAAAGGAAGCACCGGCUAACUUCGUGCCAGCAGCCGCGGUAAUACGAAGGGUGCAAGCGUUGUUCGGAUUUAUUGGGCGUAAAGCGCGCGCAGGCGGAUUUGCAAGUCAGGUGUGAAAUCUCGGGGCUCAACCCCGAAACUGCGCCUGAAACUGCGGAUCUAGAAUAUUGGAGAGGGAAGAGGAAUUUCGCAUGUAGGGGUAAAAUCCGUAGAGAUGCGAAGGAACACCAGAGGUGAAAACGUCUUCCUGGACAAUGAUUGACGCUGAGGCGCGAAAGCGUGGGGAGCGAACA